AAUUGGUGCUAUUUUCCCCAGAUGAUUUAGCAGAAUUCUUGUCCUGGUCAGAGCCAGACUCUCUUGACUGUCUCUGUGUCUCAGAAAGGCCAAGUUGAAUUCUGGUCUGUAUCAAUGUGACAAAAAACAGCUCCUGCCUAUUUGUAUACAUCCCAAGAUAAGGAUCAUAUGGUAGCAUUGUCUGUACCUGACAAGAAAUAACUGCUUUAUUUUUAUUUUUAGUUAUUACAUCCUUUCUCUCUUGGACUUGAAUAUGGGACUAGGAAUUAGGGAUAAAAAUGGAUUUGAAAAACAGACAAAUCCUUGAACUCAGAAUCACUCUGCUAUAAAUAACUAAGACUUUUUGUGGCUUCAGUUCAAUCCUGGGAACCGAGAUUUCUUCUCAUGGACAAGGUAGAUGAUCUAGCAGAGACACACGUAUAGACAGGUUUCUAAUAGGUCCUCUGCCAUCAAUUUGAAACACAUGCCCAGAUAAAUCUGAACCACAGCAGUAGAUGACACAGCCUGAGGAGGAAUCUUUCCUAUACAAGGGGUUCCUGAGAAAAGGACAAGCCUGGACUACUUUUGUCUCUUUCUUACCUUCUCUUUGCCUUUCUUCGAUGGAAUGCCAUAUCAAGAAAGUCCUCAUCAGAUGGUAGCCACCUGAUCUUAGAUUUCCCAGCCUUCAAAACUGUAAGACAAUAAGUGGCUGUUUAUUAUAAAUUACUCUGUGGUAUUUUGUUACAGCAGCACAAAAAAUACUAAUACAAAAAUAUGGCAUGAAGAAGUGGAACUGUUGUUAUAACAAAUACCUGAAAAUAUGGAAGUUGCUUUGAAAUGAGAUAAUAGGUAGUACCUGGAAGAAAUUGGAAGAACAGGCUAGAAAAAACCUCAAUUGCCAUACUUGGAGCAUUAAGGAAAAUUCUGGUGAUGGCUCGGAAGAGCAGAAAGACUGAAGUGAGAGUUUGAAAGUUUUUAAAGCUAGUAUUGAAGUGGUUGUUAGAAUGCUAGUAGAAAUAUGGACAGUAAAAGCAAUUGUAAUAAAGUCUUAGAUGAAACUGUGGAACAAGGUCUUACAAACUGGAGUAAAGGCCAUUGUUGUCAAUAAGUGGCAAAAAAAAAUUGAUAGAAUCAUGUCCAUGCCUGAGAAUUUUAUGGAAGGUGAAAUUUAAGAGCAAUGAACUGAGAUAUCUGACAGAAGAAACAUCCAAGCAAAAUAUUGAAGGAGCUAUAUGGUUUUAUUUAAUCACAUAGAGUAAAAUGAGAGAAUAGACAAGUAAUUUAAAAAUAAAUUUAUACUUAAAGGGGAAAUAAAACAUAAAACUUUGGAAAAUUCAUAGCCUGAACACAUAAAGAAUUUAAAAAUUGUUCCCAGGUGUGGCUAAAUGACACUUUGACAAUAAAAUUAUUAAUAGUAUUGGUAGAAAGAAGCC
rnacentral:lncRNA from 1 species